AUUGAACGCUGGCGGCAUGCCUUACACAUGCAAGUCGAACGGCAGCACGGGAGCAAUCCUGGUGGCGAGUGGCGAACGGGUGAGUAAUAUAUCGGAACGUGCCCAGUCGUGGGGGAUAACGUAGCGAAAGCUACGCUAAUACCGCAUACGCCCCGAGGGGGAGAGCAGGGGAUCGCAAGACCUUGCGUUAUUCGAGCGGCCGACGUCUGAUUAGCUAGUUGGUGAGGUAAUGGCUCACCAAGGCGACGAUCAGUAGCGGGUCUGAGAGGAUGAUCCGCCACACUGGGACUGAGACACGGCCCAGACUCCUACGGGAGGCAGCAGUGGGGAAUUUUGGACAAUGGGGGCAACCCUGAUCCAGCCAUUCCGCGUGAGUGAAGAAGGCCUUCGGGUUGUAAAGCUCUUUCAGCUGGAACGAAACGGUACGCUCUAACAUAGCGUGCUAAUGACGGUACCAGCAGAAGAAGCACCGGCUAACUACGUG
rnacentral:rRNA from 1 species